AACGAACGCUGGCGGCAUGCCUAACACAUGCAAGUCGAACGAGACCUUCGGGUCUAGUGGCGCACGGGUGCGUAACGCGUGGGAACCUGCCCUUAGGUUCGGAAUAACUCCCCGAAAGGGGGGCUAAUACCGGAUAAUGUCUGCGGACCAAAGAUUUAGCGCCUUUGGAUGGGCCCGCGUUGGAUUAGCUAGUUGGUAGGGUAAAAGCCUAUCAAGGCGACGAUCCAUAGCUGGUCUGAGAGGAUGAUCAGCCACACUGAGACUGAGACACGGCCUAGACUCCUACGGGAGGCAGCCGUGGGGAAUAUUGGCCAAUGGGCGAAAGCCUGAUCCAGCAAUGCCGCGUGAGUGAUGAAGGCCUUAGAGUUGUAAAGCUCUUUUACCCGGGAUGAUACUGACAGUACCGGGAGAAUAAGCACCGGCUAACUCCGUG
rnacentral:rRNA from 1 species